UUUACAGAGGUUAUGAGGUCAAGACUGUAAGAAAGGAGAAAAGAAAGAAGAACUAGCAGUCGACGUUACUUAAUACAAACCCUGCUGCUUCCGUCAUGUAAAUAAAUGAUCACCAAGAGAGAUACAGAGCACAGAAACAUCAUCAGCUUUGACAGACUAAAUUUUCAAAUGUAACUGUUUAGUCACCUACUCCAUCUCAUCUCCAUCCCAUCAGCCUGAUACAACGCCAACAACACGCUCGGUCGCACUUGCAUUUAACCUAGAGAACAGAAAAGCAAAGGCAAACAGAAGAAAGGUGCUGAAGCUGUUUGUUCAAAGCUAAAAGUACAUUGGGUUUACCGUCAUCUCCCUGUCAUCAAGAGCUCCUCACAUCUGUUGAGAGAUAACAGAGCAGAGGUUUUCCACCUACCGACACACUUAUAAAGAUCUGUCCUAUAGCAAUCAUUGUUCUACAAUAAUUGUGUGUCUUCAGCACAUCCACAGCUAAAUCUGUCGAGACAGGCCCUCGCAGCAAAGGGGGAUUCUUGGAGACUUUGGCGCCCAAUCAAAGGCUAUAUAAACUAAAUACACCCUCUUGACAUCCGCUUAGUCAGAUAAAGUAAACACAAUAACACUAACACACUAAACACAUUUUGCUCUCAAAAUAAUUACCGGCCUUGUACCAACACCAAAGCAGCAUAUAUCAAGCCAUAAGACCCGUUUGGCCUCCUUACACACGUGUAGAAAGCCGAUACGGAAGGGGUUUUGUGUGUGAUUGUGUAUACAUGUGUUUCUAUGGAAAAAAAGGCAGCUGGACAGUCUUUUGGGAAUGAUGGGGGUGGGGAGUGGAAGAAUAGGUCAUAAUACGUCUAAGGAGAGAUAUAAAAGAAAACCACAGCUGUAUAAGACUGUGGCCAAGAUGAGGAAAAUGCAAAAAUGCAUUGAAACGCAUGACAACAUGUGAGGAACUAAUGAUGACUUCGGGGAAUGGGAAAAAUGCAGAGUGAAAAAGGGGUUCCCAUCAUAAAUGAGACAUCUUAAAUGUUUGUUCAUGACAGAUCAGUGAGAUUGAAUGGAGACUUUGCUGUACAGUAUAUUUGAGUAAAAGACUUUAUUUGUGCCCAAAUAUGCAAGAAACCUGCAAUCAAAUACCAGCAAUCUCAAUAUUAACUUAACACUUGUCAUCAAAUUUGUCCAUGAAAAAAUGAUUUGAGCUGCUAUACACAGCUACUAUAUAUGAGAUAUGAUAUACUCUGUCAACUGAUAUACUCUGAAUUAGG
ensembl:lncRNA